GGUAGGAUGGCUGAGGAAUAGGCGGUAAAUUGUAAAUUUAUUAAGGAGACUAAUCUCUUCUACCA
rnacentral:tRNA from 1 species